UGUCUUGCUCCCAGACAAACUAAACAAAUUCUUUGCUCGCUUUGAGGACAAUACAGUGCCACUGACACGGCCCGCUACCAAAACCUGUGGGCUCUCCUUCAGCAGAGCCAACGUUAGUAAAAAAUUUAAAUGUGUUAACCCUCGCAAGGCUGCCGGCCCAGACAGCAUCCCUAGCUGUGUCCUCAGAGCGCGCGCAGACCAGCUGGCAGGUGUGUUUACGGACAUAUUCAAUCAAUCCCUAUCCCAGUCUGCUGUUCUCACAUGCUUCAAGAGGUCCACCAUUGCUCCUGUUCCCAAGAAAGCUAAGGUAACUGAGCUAAAUUACUAUCACCACGUAGCACUCACUUCCAUCAUCAUGAAGUGCUUUGAGCGACUAGUCAAGGAUCAUAUCACCUCCUCUCUACCUGACAACCUAGGCCCACUCCAAUUUCCUUACUGCCCCAAUAGGUCCACAGACGAUGCAAUCACAAUCACACUGCACACUGCCCUAACCCAUCUGGACAAGAGGAAUACCUAUGUAAGAAUGCUGUUCAUCGACUACAGCUCAGCAUUUAACACCAUAGUACCCUCCAAACUCGUCAUUAAGCUCAAGACCCUGGGUCUCGACCCCGCCCUGUGCAAAUGGGUCCUGGACUUUCUGACGGGACGCCCCCAGGUGGUGAGGGUAGGAAACAACAUCUUCUCCUCGCUGACCCUCCACAGUGGGGCCCCACAAGGGUGAGUUCUCAGCCCUCUCCUGUACUCCCUGUUCACCCAUGAUGCGUGGUCAUGCACGCCUCCAACUCAAUCAUCAAGUUUGCAGACAACACUACAGUGCUAGGCUUGAUUACCAACAACGACGAGACGGCCUACAGGGAGGAGGUGAGGGCACUCGGAGGGUAGUGUCAGGAAAAUAACCUCACACUCAAUGUUACAAAACAAAGGAAAUGAUUGUGGACUUCAGGAAACAGCAGAGGGAGCACCCCCCUAUCCACAUCGAUACCAUCUACUGCGUCUUGCCUAUGCUGUUCGGCCAUCGCUCAUCCAUAUAUUUAUAUGUACAUAUUCUUAUUCAUUCCUUUGUUGUUGUUAGAUAUUACUGUAUGGUCGGAAACUAGAAGCGCAAGCAUUUCGCUACACUUGCAUUAACAUCUGCUAACCAUGUGUAAGUGACCAAUAAAAUUUGAUUUGAUUAUUUCUACGAUAGCUCAAUCAAAUCAAAUGUUAUUAGUCACAUGCGCCGAAUACAACAGGUAUAGACCUUACAGUGAAAUGCUUACUUACAAGCCCCUAACCAACAAUGCAGUUUCAAAAAUAUACGGAUAAGAAUAAGAGAUAAAAGUAACAAGUAAUUAGAGAGCAGCGGUAAAAAAAUAACAAUAUCUACAGGGGUGUGCCAGAGUCAAUGUGCGGGGGAACCGGUUCGUUGAGGUACUAUGUACAUGUAGUUGGGGGCACGUAGAACGUCUGCCUUCUGCUCCGGUGCCAUCUUACACUAUAGAUAGCUGCUGGGAUGGUGUGAAUAAAACGAGGCUACAUUACACACUGCAAUAGAUAUUCCAGCCCUGAGCCCUGGCCUGCUCUGCUCCUGCUGAUCAAACGCUCCUCCUGGACUGCCACUGGAAGCAUUACUAUGUUCUAUUCAGCCUGAGAAGGAGAGUGUGAAGACGAGGAGGACCAGAGUUCAAAUUUGAUAGCUUGCUACUACUGUAAUUUAUUUGAAUGAAAACAAUGUUUCUUGGCUGUGAUGUAUUCAUCAUAGUUGUUGACCGCACAAUAAGCCACAUUCGAGUAACUUGCAUUGCGGUGCUGAAACUUGAAGCAGCAGUUGCGGCACAAUCAAUUGGAAAUUGACAACUCAUGAAAGCAGGCAAAUUUGAGUAGGGAUAAUUAAUUUAAACUGUCUUCAUUUGAAUUAGUCUUUACUAACAACAAGAUGGCUUUUUGUGGGAGCCUAUUUCUUCCUAUUUGUGAAAUAAGAGGUAGGCCUACCUGUUUGACAGAAGAAAUUAGGCUAUGAGCUGCUAUAUCCAUAGAUUUGUAGGUCAAUUCCUCCACCCACCAUGCACUCUUUGAAUAGCCUACCUCUGUGUCAGUGAAGGGCUGUUUAGUUAAACCAGGACUCAAAUUGAAGGAGUAGGAGAGGGUAUGCCAUAGGCUUACCUUUAUUAAAGACAAUGGCUAAAAGAACAGGUGUACGAUUUUGAAGACAAUUAAACAGAUCUGAUUAUGUAAAGUGAUCUAUAAGCUGUAAAAUCCCAGGGAAAGACGUGACUGAUGCAUAUGGGGACAUCAUUGUUUAGUUUCUUUGACAUCCAGAGGCUGAGUUACAACCUUUUAUAGCCGAGGAGACAAAAAAUAGACUUUGCUUGGGAAGUAAUCUAAUUCUCACACUAUCAAUUGAUUAAGCUAUCCAUAUUCUGUAAAAUAGAAGAUGUUUUAACCCAGACAUCUUUUAGGGAAACACUAGCGACCUCCUCUCAUUGGGUUAAGCCACGGAAGAAGAGUAGCCUGCAGUUAAAGCCUAAAUUGUUCUGCGUCUGUAGGCCUGUCUGGUGUGGAAAGGUAGGCCUAACUUUUGUAAUUAAUUAUAUGCAAACAUGGACAGUUUCAUUGCAAACAAGACACACUGAUUUGGCAUUGGAUAAAUAUGAUCAGAUGAGCACGUAGACCUAUCUCUCUGUCCAUUCUUAGCCUGUAUUUUCAGUCAUUUGUGUGGUAUUUUACAAAAUCAUGCUAAUAUGUAAAAUGAUGUAGAAUUGCAUGAAAUAUUUAUAAAGGUUGUUUCGUCUCGGUCCUGCAAAUACGAUGAUAGAUUCAUGCAAUGCUUUUAGUGUAAAGGAGAUCUUUCCACACCUACUCUUGUCUUGAUGGUCUGUGAACUCACAACCUUCUGGCCCGCAGCUCUGUGCUCUAUCAAAAUUCCUGCGUUGCCAUUUAAUUCUCACAGGGCGAAGAACAUUUAAUUUCAAAGAGGUACAAUUUUCUCCAUGUAACCUUUACUGUCAAUAACGUUCACUCCCUUAAUAAAUGUAGGAGUAGUUUUGUCUUUGGAAACGUAAAUGUUAUUAAAGGUUUCAUGGGGGAUUAAAUGUAGCAAGUUCGAGAUUAAGCGAAAUGUGUAUAACACGUUUUUGGCAUUGGAUAUGGGUCUUAAAUGGAGGCUUUCAACAUAAUGAAACAAACAACUUAUUUUUCACUUGAAUCAGGAAUGUCAUCGUUAAUUUCUGUUCAGUCAGCGAAUUAAUAUGUGUCGCUAAUGUGCUUACUGUACAUAUUUGACUUAAUGAAUGAAACAUCUUGGAGAUACAGAUUUUCUGCCAUAUCCAAGAUUGCACCGUCUUCUCCAAACUGUGACUACCUCUAUGCUUAGAGCUAAGUUAUUUAGAUGUUAUCUAUCAAAUGUAUUGCUGAUUACGUUGUGUUAUGAUUCGGUGUGAAUUCAACAUGUCAGACUGCAAAAAUUAACAUACUGAACAAACAUGAAGACACAUGCACCUCCACUCCAUUUCUCUAUUCUAUAACACACUCACUCGCACACACACACACACACACACACACACACACACACACACACACACACACACACACACACACACACACACACACACACACACACACACACACACACACACACACAAGUCUGCACUAACGUACACACACAAUGAUUGUGGCAAUUGGCUUGGAGACAUAUCUUGCUGAAGAAGAUUCACAACUAGGGAUAACACCCUAAUGUGCACUAGGUAACCAACUAAUCUAAAUGAGACUAGCAGCAGCUUACUCCCUCACCAAGUUAAUUACCGUUAUCAAACACUGUGGAUUAAAAGAGAUAAAAGACAGAAGAAAGAGAAAGUCAUUUGACACUAAUGCACAAUCAGUGACAAAAUGUCACAAUGUCAACGUUGUUCUAAAACUUGCCCUUUUCUAAAAGCCUCAUUUGAUACUUUCUAAAUGUAUGACGGCAUUCCAGUGGAACAGUGAAUGGAAAGCAUGGGCCAUUUUUUUUUAAAACACCUCCUGACCUUUCGACUGUGGCGGUAAUUGCUUAUGCUAGACAAGGAGAGAAUAUAAGUCUCUUAUGAGUCACUGCAUUAGAUAUGGCCCUGGUGGUCUGGGUGAAGGGAGGGAGGUCUGGAGUGGGUUUGUGUGUGUGUUUGUGUGUGUGCGUGCAUGCCGUGCAUGUACUUCUCGAGCACUUAUACUGGCAUGGUAGAAAACAGACUACCAGUCUGUCUCUAGAGAGGAUCUUUCUGAUUCGCUCAAACCUUAUUCAGCUGAAGGAAACAGAUAAUCUCAAGCAAUAAAUUCAUCCUCAUCGGCCACACAGCAUGAACUGAAACCGUAGAACUGAUAAUGAAAAUAAGCUCCUUAUCAUAUCAUAUGUGUAUAAUGUGUUGUUGUUUACAUUUGCCUAGUUAUGAGGUCAUCAUUGGAGCAUCAUGGCUAGGUCACACGAGCACUCCGAGGUACCACUGUAUACUAGCUAGUAAUGGUAAUGAACCACCAGACUUCGGCAAGUAAAGUUAAACCGUUUCCUUAACAUUACACACAUCCACAUGGUGUCAGAAGCUAGAGGAUUAUGGCAUAAGGACUCCGACACUUUGAUCUCCUCGACUUUGACAAAAAUAUUGCCGAUAACUGGCUGAAAUUCAAGAGAGAAUGGCAAGGAUGCACUGGAUAAAUAUAACACUUUCAUUUUUCAAGAAGGGGAGGACAAAGAUAAUCCAGAGGUACUGAUUAAGACAUUUGAGGAAAUAUGCUUGCCAUUAAAACAUUUGAUAAUGGACAGGCAUGUGUUUAACACAAUUCGUUUUUUCCAACUGCUUACACACAAAAUCUUUUCAUGUCACAUGAUUUUUCUCACUCAAAGUGCUAAACUACACACCAAAUAUCCAAAACCAUAAGCUAUUUCUCAGCCUUUGACUCAGUUGUCAUAUUGCAUAAAACACUUUUUUUCAAAACACUACACACAAUUCUCUACCUAAAACACAAAGAUCUAACAGGAAGUGACACAACCAAUCAAAAUGCUACACUUAUUCAUCAGGUCACACACACACUCCUCACAUGUGCAAACACUAAUAGCUUAAUACCUCUUGAAGCUAGGGGGCACUAUUUUUAUGUUUGGAAAAAUAACGUUCCCAAAGUAAACGGUAAAUCUCUCAGAACCAGAUGCUAGAAUAUGCAUAUAAUUGACAGAUUAGGAUAGAAAAUUCUCUAAAGUUUCCAAAACUGUCAAAAUAUUGCAGGUGAAACCCUGAGGAAAAUCCAAUCAGGAAGUGCCUCUUAUUUUGAAACCAUUCUGUUCCUAUGCAUGCCUAUCCUCAAUUUAAAGGGAUAUCAACCAGAUUCCUUCUUCUCUGGCUUCCCAAAGGUGUCAACAGUCUUUAGACAUAGUUUCAGGCUUUCAUUUUGAAAAAUGAGGGUGAAAAAUCACAUUGCGUAAGUGGAUAGGUGGGGGCUCUCAGAGUGAGUUUUUGCGCUACAGAGUAAAGCCGCCAUUGUUCCUCCCACUGUUAUUGAAAAACCUACACACUCGGUUGGUAUAUUAUCGAAUAUAUAUAUUUUAAAAACUACCCAAGGAAUGAUUAUAAAAAACGUUUGACAUGUUUCUGUGGACAUUAUGAAGACUAUUUGGAAUUUCCAUCUGCGUUGUCGUGACCGCUCUUUCCUGUGGAUUUCUGAACAUAACGCAACAAACAAACUGAGGUAUUUUGGCUAUAAAAAUAGUCUUUAUAGAACAAAAGGAACAUUUGUUGUGUAACUGUGAGUCUCGUGAGUGAAAACAUCCGAAGAUCAUCAAAGGUAAACAGUUAAUUUGAUUGCUUUUCUGAUUUUCGUGACCAAGCUUCCUGAUGCUAAGAGUACAUAAUGAUAUGCUAGGCUAUCGAUAAACUUACACAAAUGCUUGGAUUGCUUUCGCUGUAAAGCAUCAUUUCAAAAUCUGAGAUGACAGGUGGAUUAACAAAAGGCUAAGCUGUGUUUUGCAAUAUUGCACUUGUGAUUUCAUGAAUAUGAAUAUGAAUAUUUUUUUAUAAUAUUAUUUGACUGUUGCGCUAUGCUAUUCACCGGUUGCUGACGAAAAUGAUCCCGCGACAGGGAUGGGUAGCGUCAAGAAGCUUGUGUAGUCAAAUUAAUCUAUGAUCGUAUGCUAUCCAUUUGUUGAUUGUAUGCUGUUCUUUGCAUGACAUUUUAAUAUUUGAUUAUCCCAUCUCUGAUGAGAUUAGGGCAACACUUGUUGAUCAUGUGAUCAACCACGGUUUGACCACGAGAGAGGCUGAACUGAGAGUCCAGCCUAACUUGAGUCGAUUUACAGUGGCGUCCAUAAUUCGAACCUUCAGAAGUGAGAACAGAAUGGAAAGGCAAAGACAUCAUGGAGGAUGAGGACACUUGUUUACAGAUGUACAAGAGACUGCAAUUAUAAAUAUGGUUUUGGCCAACAAUGGAAUUAGGAUUCGAGAGAUAAGAGAGCAUAUCUUGAAUAACGACACCAUAUUUAACAACAUCAAUGCUGUAAGCCUGUCGACCAUACAACGCAUCCUCCAACGGCACCGAGUGACGAUGAAACAACUUGACAAGGUGCCAUUUGAGAGAAAUGCGACAUUACUUUGUAAAGGUAUGUAUGGAACACUACUUCUAGUACUUCAGACAUACCAUAUUUACUCAUCUGUAUAUCAUUUCAUCUGUUACAGCGAGUAUUGGAGCUGGAUUCCCAUAUAAUUCACCAUAAAUUUAUUUAUGUGGAUGAGGUUGGCUUCAACCUCACCCUAACCAGGCGCCGCAGAAGAAAUGUAAUAGGACAGAGGGCCAUUAUCGAUGUCCCUGGACAGCGUGGGGGUAAUAUAACUAUGUGUGCUGCCAUCACUCAAAACGGUGUCCUCCAUCACAAUGCCACACUGGUUCCGUACAACACCGGCCAGAUGCUCACUUUUCUGGAUGCAAUUUACACAAUGCUUGUCCCUGAUCCAGAUCCGUAGCCUGCUAGAUUUGUGGUUUUAUGGGACAAUGUUAGUUUUCACCGGGCUGUUCUGGUCCAAAACUGGUUUGCCACCCAUCCACAAUUUGUAGUUUUAUACCUACCCUCAUAUUCACCUUUUCUAAAUCCCAGAGGAAUUCUUCUCAGCCUGGCGCUGGAAAGUGUAUGAUCGCCAACCCCAAGCCCGCAUGCCGCUUCUCCAGGCAAUGGAGGACGCAUGUGGGGACAUAGAGGUUGCCUUUGUCCAAGGUUGGAUACGCCAUGCUAGGAGAUACUUCCCUCGAUGUUUGGCAAGAGAAAAUGUAUCUUGUGAUGUGGACGAAGUAUUGUGGCCAGAUCCAGACCGGAGAAGAGAUGAAGCGUUGCUUAGCACUGGUGACUGCCCCCCCGGGACCCCACACACACAAUUGUGUUCUUUACUGUAUUCUAAAGAAUAUACUUUUGGUUUACAUGUGUUUAUGGUUUUGUUGUAUGCUACUGUAUACAACAGUAAUGUGUGGCCUAAUAAAUAUUUUCUGUUUCUACAUUG